rnacentral:rRNA from 1 species
CCUACUGGAGGCUGCAGUGAGGAAUUUUGCGCAAUGGGAGCAAUCCUGACGCAGCAACGCCGCGUGGGUGAUGAAGGCCUUCGGGUCGUAAAGCCCUGUCAGGUGGGAAGAAUGUCCUGGAAUUGAACAGGUUCCGGGAGUGACGGUACCACCAGAGGAAGCACCGGCUAACUCCGUGCCAGCAGCCGCGGUAAUACGGAGGGUGCAAGCGUUAUUCGGAAUUACUGGGCGUAAAGCGCGUGUAGGCGGUCCUGCAAGGCUGAUGUGAAAGCCCCGGGCUUAACCCGGGAAGUGCAUUGGAGACUGCAGGUCUUGAGUGCUGGAGAGGAUGGGGGAAGUCCCGGUGUAGAGGUGAAAUUCGUAGAGAUCGGGAGGAAUAUCAGUGGCGAAGGCGCCCAUCUGGACGGUAACUGACGCUGAGACACGAAAGCGUGGGGAGCAAACA